UACGUAGGGUGCGAGCGUUAAUCGGAAUUACUGGGCGUAAAGCGUGCGCAGGCGGUUANACUAAGCAGAUGUGAAAUCCCCGGGCUUAACCUGGGAACUGCGUUGUUGAACUGGUAUACUCGAGUGUGGCAGAGGGGGGUGAAUUCCACGUGUAGCAGUGAAAUGCGUAGAGAUGUGGAGGAACACCGAUGGCGAAGGCAGCCCCUGGGUCAACACUGACGCUCAUGCACGAAAGCGUGGGGAGC
rnacentral:rRNA from 1 species